rnacentral:tRNA from 1 species
GCAACCUUAGCAUAAUUGGUAGUGCAUUUGAUUCGUAAUCAAAAGGUCGUUGGUUCGAUUCCCACAGGUGGCU